AGGGUCACAGACAUAGUACUAGACACCAAACAUCUUUUUAACUUUGACUCAUUUCUUUAGCAAAGAGACUAAACACAACUCACCUACUCUCUUCCAGCAGACGCUUGUUUGUAGAGAGACCUCAGGCCAGUCCAUUACAGACUACAGCGGGGUGCCGCAGCUCAAGGAAGAACAUUUAUGAUCAUUUCUUUAUCAUUUCCUUGAAGUAAUAAUCACCAUAUUAAUCAUUUUACAGACACGGUAGUUCUUCUGUCUCAGCGUCUCGGUCUGAUUGUAUUUCCAUGAAGAAAUGAUCAUAAAUGUUCUUCCUUGAGCUGCGGCACCCCGCUGUAGUCUGUAAUGGACUGGCCUGAGGUCUCUCUACAAACAAGCGUCUGCUGGAAGAGAGUAGGUGAGUUGUGUUUAGUCUCUUUGCUAAAGAAAUGAGUCAAAGUUAAAAAGAUGUUUGGUGUCUAGUACUAUGUCUGUGACCCUGUAUGUCCUGUUGAUGAAGUUAGGUGCUGUUCUGAGCAUUAUUUGUGGCUAUAGAGUGGCGUUUUGGUUGAGGGCGUGGCUCUCUGUAUUUCUAUCCUGCGGUCGUUACUAAAGUUGGUAUAACUAGAGAAGCAAGCGGUCGGCAACAUUCAUCUCUGGAGGGGGGGUCUAACUCGGUGUUACGGUGGGUUUGACUCUAAGUUAAUUUUACAUCGGAAUAUCCCCUUUUUUUUUUUUUUUGGUGGACUUCAGAGGUCAAACUCUGAGGGGGGCGGAGUUUGCUGAAAAAGCUCCUAGAACUUUAAAUCCAACAGGUGUUAGAAAACGGAGACGUAGACGGCGGAUGUUUUGAGGAAAGUUUAACCCUGAGGAUCAGCCUGCAGACAUCACAGUCAUGUUUACGGCUGCUGAGAUCAAACUUUCUGAGUUUUACCCCAAAAAGACGAAGAAACAUCUUCCUUCAGGUUUAGACUAAACCACAUAAACUCUUGAAACCCUAAAAGGUUAGAGUCGAGCCUUCAUGGCCUCCAUCGUCUCCAUCCUCUUCUUCUUCUUCUUCUCUGAGCAGCAGAGAGGGAGAGGGUCGAGGCGCUGAGGGUAAAUAUUUGUUUUGUGGUCUCUCCGUUGAGCUCCGGACCUCUGUGUGCCUCUUAAGAAAACUUUCUCCCGCACGGGAGCGACCAAGGCAAACAAUCCCACAUCACGCCGUCUGGCUCGCCCCGGACCCUUGUGUGUUUGUUUGUUCAGACAGCCGCCAUGACAGACGGAGGAACGCUGAAAAGAAGACAUCUGAAGAAUGAGAAAGAGCGAAGCAGAGUCUGAGGAGGAGGAGGAGGAUGGAGUUGUUCCUGAUAGUGAGGAGGACUGAUGGAGGAGUCCCACACAGAUGGCCUGGUCCUGGUUUUAUUCCCAGACGCUUCGCUCUCUGCAGACCCCAGUCCAACAGUGUUUAAAAAUAAUUCUUAGCAUAUGUUGAGAGCUGUCGGUGUCAGCAGAAGAUAAAGACCCCCCACAGGAGGAACCGGGCUCAGUCUGAGGAGCUUUUUCUCUACGACCCACUUCUUUAACUGGAUUUAAGGAAACAGAGACGCUUCAAAAACAACUAAAAUAAACUUUUUAAACAUUUUAAAUGAUUUUUACGACAUGAUCAAGAAGAUUUAAAAACAAACUCAAAAGUUUUACAUGUCUAUAUCUGUAUGUACAUAAAUGUUAGAGAUGUUCCGAUACGGGUUUGACCUCAACUUUGUUUACAUGUUCUCCUGAGUUAAAAAAGAACUUUAGGGGAACAAUAAAAAUUAAUCAAUAAUGUUUGUCUUAUUGGUCGACCUUAGUACUAUCAUAAGAAUCAAUUCUAGGUCAAUUGGUCACAUGACAGUGAAGCUAUUGAAGGAAAACAGCCUUUUCUGAGAACAUCAACCGGUAAUUUAUUGACGGUCCCUUAUUCAACACCGACGUUGACAGUGAGGGUGUCGAGUAGAUUUAACCGCGCUGCUGUUGUUAUUCCCGGUUAUGGAGAGAGAGAAGACACCGGUAGAUCCUCAGAGAAUGUCCGUCAGAUAUCCAACCUGAAACUAACUUCACCGCCGUAUUUACAGGAAAAUAUAUCCAACCUGAAACUAACUUCACCGCUGUAUUUACAGGAAAAUAUAUCCAACCUGAAACUAACUUCACCGCCGUAUACACAGGAAAAUAUAUCCAACCUAAAACUAACUUCACCGCCGUAUUUACAGGAAAAUAUAUCCAACCUGAAACUAACUUCACCGUAUUUACAGGAAAAUAUAUCCAACCUGAAACUAACUUCACCGCCGUAUUUACAGGAAAAUAUAUCCAACCUGAAACUAACUUCACCGCCGUAUUUACAGGAAAAUAUAUCCAACCUAAAACUAACUUCACCUCCGUAUUUACAGGAAAAUAUAUCCAACCUGAAACUAACUUCACCGCAGUAUUUACAGGAAAAAAUAUAUCCAACCUGAAACUAACUUCACCGCUGUAUUUACAGGAAAAUAUAUCCAACCUGAAACUAACUUCACCGCCGUAUUUACAGGAAAAUAUAUCCAACCUAAAACUAACUUCACCGCCGUAUUUACAGGAAAAUAUAUCCAACCUAAAACUAACUUCACCGCCGUAUUUACAGGAAAAUAUAUCCAACCUAAAACUAACUUCACCGCCGUAUUUACAGGAAAAUAUAUCCAACCUGAAACUAACUUCACCGCCGUAUUUACAGGAAAAUAUAUCUAACCUGAAACUAACUUCACCGCCGUAUUUACAGGAAAAUAUAUCCAACCUAAAACUAACUUCACCGCCGUAUUUACAGGAAAAUAUAUCCAACCUAAAACUAACUUCACCGCCGUAUUUACAGGAAAAUAUAUCCAACCUGAAACUAACUUCACCGCCGUAUUUACAGGAAAA